rnacentral:lncRNA from 1 species
CGCUUUUUGAAGGUAGACAUGCGCGAGAUGGAGAGAUGGCGGAAGCAGUUAUUCUUCCUUCGGGAAGUGCACGGAUCCAUUCUGUGUUAGACAGAUGACAAUGAUGGGGGAGUGAACUACAGUUAUUUAAAAGGAAACUGCAGAUUUGAGGUAAUCAACAUGAUUAUAUCAGAGCCUCCCUGUCUGAAGGCUGCCUGCUGAAAACCUUCCACUUGUUUUUUUUUUCAUGUGGGGAGUCCUGUCUUCUCCUGCCUGGUUCAGACACUUGGCUUCAGCCAGUGGUCAUGUCUGUGAGAAGUCUGGCUACAUGGGCUCACUCUAGAGUCCUCUCACUGCAGCACCACAGCAAGCCUUAAAGAUGUUGAUCCCACAUCCUGCUGUACUGUAGACUGGAAAUUAUUUCUCGUUUUUUGCUGGAACUGGAUGGAAGGUCCACAUGUACCUCACCUCACCCUGAGGAGCUGAGGGUCACUGAGAGGCAAGGUUCCAUGAGAGGCAGAGUGCAGUGGACCAUUCACCACGCCACGUCUUGCUCAGGUCUGCUUAGUGACUGGCUUUCUAGUUGUAGCCUCCUGUCCAACAACAUCACUGUCUGUAACUGAG